AGAAAUAUGUCUGAUAAAAGAGUUACUUUGAUAGAGUAAAACAUAGAGGUUUAAAUCCUCUUAUUUCUA
rnacentral:tRNA from 3 species